UGGGGGAGUAUUGCACAAUGGGGGAAAGCCCUGAUGCAGCAACGCCGCGUGAAGGAAGAAGGUCUUCGGAUUGUAAACUUCUGUCCUCAGGGAAGAUAAUGACGGUACCUGAGGAGGAAGCUCCGUGCUAACUACGUGCCAGCAGCCGCGGUAAUACGUAGGGAGCGAGCGUUGUCCGGAUUUACUGGGUGUAAAGGGUGCGUAGGCGGAUCUGCAAGUCAGUAGUGAAAUCCCAGGGCUUAACCCUGGAACUGCUAUUGAAACUGUGGGUCUUGAGUGAGGUAGAGGCAGGCGGAAUUCCCGGUGUAGCGGUGAAAUGCGUAGAGAUCGGGAGGAACACCAGUGGCGAAGGCGGCCUGCUGGGCCCUUAACUGACGCUGAGGCACGAAAGCAUGGGUAGCAAACAGGAUUAGAUACCC
rnacentral:rRNA from 1 species